GAGGAAACCAGAGUCAGAUGGCAACAAUUCAAGUAAAGCGUUGUACUCACCAGUACCUGCCCAAGUCUCCGUCAGACACAGGAAAUCCAAGUCAUUGGAAAGGAAAUACUCCCUCAGAAUAUGGGUCUUGUUCGUCAACGACCGGGCGUUUAACAAAGCGAUCCUUGUGGGAGUGGCAAUGGGAGGGAUUGCCUCUUCCGAUUGCCGAGCCCGGGGGAAUUCCCUCAAAAGCUUUCGCUGGACUCCUCGCCGAGAAAGGCGCAGAGGGUAGAAAUGCCGUGGCACGGUGGGAGAGCCAACGACUGUUAUCAAGCACGAGGCAACGGGGUCGA